UCCAUUGCCAUGAUCAAAUAUCUCUUCACCUGAUCAGCUCAUAUCUGAAAAAAUAAAUCAAAACAAGAUCAUACGUAUGAUGGUGGCAAUAAAUAGUAGUGUGCUGGAGUUGGCUUGCAUAACAGAUCAUGUGCAUAUCUUCCCAAGUCCCUAGAGAGUGAGAGCCCUAAAGAGGCCUGUUGACCUACAGGCUAUCAGGAAUGUCUGCUGAAUCAGUGAUUCCUCACUUUAAAACAAAAACUGCAAUCAACUAACUGGAU